GACGAACGCUGGCGGCGUGCUUAACACAUGCAAGUCGAACGGAAAGGCCCUGCUUGCAGGGUACUCGAGUGGCGAACGGGUGAGUAACACGUGGGUGAUCUGCCCUGCACUUCGGGAUAAGAUUGGGAAACAGGGUCUAAUACAGGAUAGGAGCCAUCUUUAGUGAGGGGGUUGGAAAGUAUUUUCGGUGUAGGAUGAGCGCGCGGCCUAUCAGCUUGUUGGUGGGGUAAUGGCCUACCAAGGCGGCGACGGGGAGCCGGCCUGUGAGGGUGUACGGCCACAUUUGGACUGUGAUACGGCCCAGACUCCUACGGGGGGCAGCAGUGGGGAAUAUUGCACAAUGGGCGCAAGCCUGAUGCAGCGACGCCGCGUGGGGGAUGAAGGCCUUCGGGUUGUAAACUCCUUUCGCUAGGGACGAAGCGUUGUUGUGACGGUACCUAGAUAAGAAGCACCGGCUAACUACGUG
rnacentral:rRNA from 1 species